rnacentral:rRNA from 1 species
UACGUAGGGUGCAAGCGUUAAUCGGAAUUACUGGGCGUAAAGCGUGCGCAGGCGGUUGUGUAAGACAGAUGUGAAAUCCCCGGGCUCAACCUGGGAACUGCAUUUGUGACUGCACGGCUCGAGUGCGGCAGAGGGGGAUGGAAUUCCGCGUGUAGCAGUGAAAUGCGUAGAUAUGCGGAGGACCACCGAUGGCGAAGGCAAUCCCCUGGGCCUGCACUGACGCUCAUGCACGAAAGCGUGGGGAGCAAACAGG